rnacentral:antisense_RNA from 1 species
CUUGAGCGAGCCGAGCAGCAGCGGCCGGUCGGCGGGACGGCCUUGGCCGUAUGUCGCCAGGAGUGCCUGGGCCUC